rnacentral:rRNA from 1 species
AGGCAGCAGUAAGGAAUAUUGGUCAAUGGACGCAAGUCUGAACCAGCCAUGCCGCGUGCAGGAUGAAGGCCCUCUGGGUUGUAAACUGCUUUUAUAGGGGACGAAAAAGGGACUUUCUAGUUCAACUGACGGUACCCUAGGAAUAAGCACCGGCUAACUCCGUGCCAGCAGCCGCGGUAAUACGGAGGGUGCAAGCGUUAUCCGGAUUUACUGGGUUUAAAGGGUGCGUAGGUGGGUCGGUAAGUCAGCGGUGAAAUCUUCGAGCUUAACUCGGAAACUGCCAUUGAUACUAUCGAUCUUGAAUCAUCUAGAGGUAAGCGGAAUAUGUCAUGUAGCGGUGAAAUGCUUAGAUAUGACAUAGAACACCAAUUGCGAAGGCAGCUUACUAUGGAUGUAUUGACACUGAGGCACGAAAGCGUGGGGAUCAAACAGGAUUAGAUACCCUGGUAG